UUAUAUAUUUAUGUUGAUAAUUUAAUUUUUUGUAUUUAUCUAAUGAAUUAAAAUUUCUACAGCCAAGAAAAUAGGGCUUUGAGAGUUUACUCUACUACAACCUUAAAAACAAAAUAAAAAAUUUUUGGGCUGUAGGUUUAAAAAUAAAGCUACAGCACGAUUGGUUUGUAAUCAAGGCUUUAAGAAAAAUUAAUGCUGUAAGUAAGACUUAAAGCCCAACCAAUCAUGCACUUAAAUAUCAAAAUCUAAUUAUACAAUCUUAAAGGAAACGAUAUACAUGAAGGAUUAUAUGGUAGGACGGAUUUUGGUCGAUAAUAUUACGAGAUGGUAUAUGACUGGUGAAAUUAUAAAAUAA
rnacentral:sRNA from 1 species